rnacentral:rRNA from 1 species
CUUACGACCAGGGCUACACACGUGCUACAAUGGCGCAUACAAAGAGAAGCGACCUCGCGAGAGCAAGCGGACCUCAUAAAGUGCGUCGUAGUCCGGAUUGGAGUCUGCAACUCGACUCCAUGAAGUCGGAAUCGCUAGUAAUCGUGGAUCAGAAUGCCACGGUGAAUACGUUCCCGGGCCUUGUCCACACCGCCCGUCACCCCAUGGGAGGGGGUUGCAAAAGAAGUAGGAAGCUUAACCUUCGGGAGGGCGCUUACCACUUUGUGAUUCAUGACUGGGGGGAAGUCGUAACAAGGUAACCGCAGCGGAACCUGCGGUUGGCUCACCUACUUACCUUACAUAAGC